rnacentral:rRNA from 1 species
GGGGCAGCAUCCUAGCAAUAGGGAUGGCGACCGGCGCACGGGUGAGUAACACGUAUCCACCUGCCGAUAACUCGGGGAUAGCCUUUCGAAAGAAAGAUUAAUACCCGAUGGCACCGCCUGGUUAAAGAAUUUCGGUUAUCGAUGGGGAUGCGUUCCAUUAGAUAGUUGGCGGGGUAACGGCCCACCAAGUCUUCGAUGGAUAGGGGUUCUGAGAGGAAGGUCCCCCACAUUGGAACUGAGACACGGUCCAAACUCUACGGGAGGCAGCAGUGAGGAAUAUUGGUCAAUGGACGAGAGUCUGAACCAGCCAAGUAGCGUGAAGGAUGACUGCCUAUGGGUUGUAAACUUCUUUUAUAUGGGAAUAAGUGGAGUAUGUAUACUCUUUUGUAUGUACCAUAUGAAUAAGGAUCGGCUAACUCCGUGCCAGCAGCCGCGGUAAUACGGAGGAUCCGAGCGUUAUCCGGAUUUAUUGGGUUUAAAGGGAGCGUAGGCGGAUGCUUAAGUCAGUUGUGAAAGUUUGCGGCUCAACCGUAAAAUUGCAGUUGAAACUGGGUGUCUUGAGUGCAGUAUAGGCAGGCGGAAUUCGUGGUGUAGCGGUGAAAUGCUUAGAUAUCACGAAGAACUCCGAUUGCGAAGGCAGCUUGCUGGAGUGUCACUGACGCUGAUGCUCGAAAGUGUGGGUAUCAAACAGGAUUAGAUACCCUGGUAGUCCACACAGUAAACGAUGAAU